UGCCGCGGGGCUGGGGAGACGGGAGUGCCAGGUCAGGGCGCCCCGAGUCCCGCGGGGGGAGCGAGGGCUCUUGGCGUCUGGGCGAAGCCCGGGCCGCAUUUCAUCCCGGCGUGGGGACGUGGUGCCCAGACAGACGCCCUUGUGUCGGGCCCGUCUCGCAGUACAAAGGCGACAGGGCUGCUCGCAGGGAGGGCGCGAGGGGGAGGGCGGGAGGCUUUUCUCCGGCGCUUUGGGAGGAUGGUUUUUUGACUCACUGCCGACUUUAUUUCCAGCAAAUUAAUAAUUUCCUCUCGCGGCAACAAUGUUGGCCUGUGUGUGCGUGCGUGCGUGUGUGUGUCGGUGUCUCCCAGUGCCCUCCCAACCGCGUUUCCCCCCCUCCCUGCUGCGUACAGAGGGUCCGCGCUGCUUGCAGCGGACUUCCUCCGUCCUCAUCCUCAGCUGGGCUUCUUCCAGCUGUGUGUAACUGUCCGACUCAGUCCAGCUGUGACAGCCGCCGCCUUGGGAGCAUCCUGGCAGGAGCGCUGGGCCCUGGCUAUGAACUGAUGAUAGAAAGUGAGCAUUCAUCACCAGCUGCUGGCUGCUGGCAGGAACAGACCCACCCGCCGCGGCGGGCGCAGGAAAAGCUCUCCUCCGCAGGAAAGUGGCCUGCCACCGUGGGCACGGCAGGCUCCCCGCACGGCCCGGCUGCCAGCGCUGCUCCAAAGAGCCUCGAGGGACUCGGGGUAUCUUCCAAGCUGGUUGUGAUCAUCAGGGAUACAGUUGGAAUCCGUUUCACAUUGCUGCACCAAGCCACAUGCACACGUAUAUGUUCACAUGCCUACACGCACGCCGGCUGCCGUGCCAGACUUUGCAGCACUGUCACUCUCCCCUGCUUGAGAAGACAGGCGCCCCGUCGGGUAGGACCGAGCUGAGCACAGCACCUCGCACGAACAUCGGUUAUUACCCCAGACUAGGAAGGUAACACGCUGCAGCCAAGACAAUCAACAGCAAUUAGUCCUUUUGGGAACUCGAUGUGAAAUGCUGCAGAGGCUUUUCUGUGCGUGCCGAUUGCUCUUCCUCCGGUCCUUUGGAAGUGAUGCGAGUUGGACAUGCCAAACCACUGGUCAUGUCUGAGCAAAACUUGGUGCCUCGUGUCAUUUCCAUGCGGCUGGGAGGGCUGGGGGGGAUGUCUGUGAAUGUUAAAGGCACUUGUGUACCCAAGCAGUGAACGCACAUGCUGUCAUUACCUCUGCAAUGCCAUCUGGCCAGCAGCAAUGCAGCUAGAACCAGGGCUGUGCGCAGAACAUUUUACAACAGAAAGCAAUUAACCGAAUAAAGCCCUUUUUAAAAUCCAGUAAUU